rnacentral:rRNA from 1 species
UACGUUCCCGGGCCUUGUACACACCGCCCGUCACACCACGAAAGUCGGCAAUACCCGAAGCCGGUGUCCUAACCGUAAGGAGGGAGCCGUCGAAGGUAGGGUCGAUGAUUGGGGUG